rnacentral:rRNA from 1 species
GGAAAAGAAAAUAACAAUGAUUCCCUCAGUAACGGCGAGCGAAGAGGGAUAAGCUCAANUUUUAAAUCUGUUGGGUUCCACUUAACAGAGUUGUAUUUUGAAGAAACGUUUUCUGCGUCCAGGAUUAGCCUAAAUCCUUUGGGAUAAGGUAUCAUGGAGGGUGAGAAUCCCGUUCAUGGUUAAUCUUAAGGAAGCUCUACGAUACGUUUUCCAAGAGUCGAGUUGUUUGGGAUUGCAGCUCAAAAUGGGAGGUAAAUUUCUCCUAAGGCUAAAUAUUGGCGAGAGACCGAUAGCGAACAAGUACCGUGAGGGAAAGAUGAAAAGAACUUUGAAAAGAGAGUUAAACAGUACGUGAAAUUGUUGAAAGGGAAACGAUUGAAGUCAGUCAUACCAACGGGAAAUCAACCUUUUGAGCUCGGUCUCGUGGGUUUUGAAGAGUUUCAAAGCCUUCGGAUUCGCGGGAUUGGGAUCUCUUGGUGUACUUUUUCGUACGGUUAGUCAACAUCGGUUUUGAAUGUCAUAAAAUGACUGGAGGAAUGUAGCUUCGAUCUCGUAUUGAAGUGUUAUAGCCUUUGGUAGAUGUGAUGUUUGAGACCGAGGAUUGCAACGGAUACCCUUCAGGGCUAUUCGUCUGAUCUCUGAUACGUUGCCUUGAUGUUGAAAGCUUGCUUAUGAUGUUAGGGUAUUACGGUCAAAAGGUUAGAACGAAUUACAUUCGUUAAGGAUGUUGACGUAAUGACUUUAAACGACCCGUCU